UCAUCAAAGGUCUCGGGCACGUGGUAUUUUAGGUGUACAAUACUGCCUCAAGAGGAUAAGAUACCAGCCAUUGUCACCCGUCUGACAGACUUCCAUAGGAGUUUCAUGGACGAGUAUCGCGACUGAGAGAUCUUGGCAUUUGAGAGUUGUUCAGAAUAAGUUAUAACCAGCCAUUUCCAUAUACAGACGAGAGCUUUCGUUGUGCAUCUCCAGGUUUUUUUAUGGCGGAAGAUGACUAGCAAGUGUAACAGAAAUUUUUAUUAUCUGGUGUUAUCUCCUGGACCUGGUGUGACAGACUUUAUGGUUUGACCCCGUCAGUAACAGCGGCAAUGAAAUCUGAUUUUCAGUCUUGUAGCUAAGCUUUCCUCUUGAGAUCCUGCAAGUUUGUCUAAGUUUAAGACACUACUUUUUUCUUGGUCAAUUUAAUUCAUGGU